AAAAACCCUUGCGGAGAAUGGCUGAACCGACGCAGCACACAUUUAAAUGCGAACAACCAAAAACACAUCCAGAGAACCAUUGACUUCCACCUUGAUGUUGUGAAUACUUGCCAGAGCGUCCAGCAGGGAGAUGAAGUUCUGCAGAUCAGGACGACUGCGACAGAAAAGCUGAAAGAGGUUCUUUCCGAUCGGCUGCUUCACACACAGACUGUAGUACUCUCUCUCUGAGGGGGGAGAGCACAUGCUCUCCGGCCUCGACUCCCUCCUGCAGAGACAUCAUGUUACCGUCAUCAACACACUACAAAGAACACUUGAAGUCCAAGGAUCCUCCAACACUUCAACAAGAGGAGCACUUUGGGGUGAAGCGUCUCAGGGACACAACGACAUGCUGACUGCAGAGGGGUUUGAACCCCCUGAUCCGAACCCCAACGCACAACCCACUGCGCCACGCGCCUCUGAUACUGCAAAAACACCAUCUCU